rnacentral:rRNA from 1 species
CAGUCGCCGCGGGAAUACGAAGGGGGCUAGCGUUGUUCGGAUUUACUGGGCGUAAAGCGCACGUAGGCGGACUUUUAAGUCAGGGGUGAAAUCCCGGGGCUCAACCCCGGAACUGCCUUUGAUACUGGAAGUCUUGAGUAUGGUAGAGGUGAGUGGAAUUCCGAGUGUAGAGGUGAAAUUCGUAGAUAUUCGGAGGAACACCAGUGGCGAAGGCGGCUCACUGGACCAUUACUGACGCUGAGGUGCGAAAGCGUGGGGAGCAAACAGGAUUAGAGACCCCUGUAGUCCCUGUCUCUUAUAC